GGCAGGUGUUAUUAAGAAGAACAGUGUUCUGAUGGACUUCAAAAUGGUUCCUCUUCCUCUUUCCCUGCUAGAAGUCUGAGGGCAUUUUCCUUUAAUAUUUACUGGGUAUGGAUUGGGGAAAUCUACUCGAGCUCCUGGAAGUAAAUCUCACAAUACUGUGGGAGCCCCACUAAGUCUGGAUUCCCCUAUGACUUGUCUGCACUGAGCCUUCAAACAUUCACCAAUUACAGUUCAGUGUUUCCUUCUCAGAGCUGGUUUCCUGGGUGGAUUCCCCUCCUUGAGAGUUUCUACUUUGCUCUUGGAAUCCAGUCACCAUGCAGAGAGGAAACCUUAUGGAGAGGCCACAUAGGAGAGGAACAAAGGUUCCUGCCUGACAGCCUGGGCAAGCUCUCAGCCAGAAGACAGCACAACUGGCCUGUGAUGUAAGUCACCUUGGAAGGUCUUGGAAUUGUAUUGACUUCAAGCUCUUCAAUGCCCGGAUCCACCCCUGGCUUUCUGCACUUUACACUAUGGACCAGUGAGAGGUGAUGGUCCUAGGUA